rnacentral:rRNA from 1 species
UGGGGAAUAUUGGACAAUGGGCGAAAGCCUGAUCCAGCCAUGCCGCGUGUGUGAAGAAGGUCUUCGGAUUGUAAAGCACUUUAAGUUGGGAGGAAGGGCAGUAAGUUAAUACCUUGCUGCUUUGACGUUACCGACAGAAUAAGCACCGGCUAACUCUGUGCCAGCAGCCGCGGUAAUACAGAGGGUGCAAGCGUUAAUCGGAAUUACUGGGCGUAAAGCGCGCGUAGGUGGGUUGUUAAGUUGGAUGUGAAAGCCCCGGGCUCAACCUGGGAACUGCAUCCAAAACUGGCAAGCUAGAGUACGGUAGAGGGUGGUGGAAUUUCCUGUGUAGCGGUGAAAUGCGUAGAUAUAGGAAGGAACACCAGUGGCGAAGGCGACCACCUGGACUGAUACUGACACUGAGUUGCGAAAGCGUGGGGAGCAAACA